AGACUCACUUGAGAGCGCAACUUUGCUCCUGCUGGCCACCUCCCUUUGAGUCUUUUCCUGCAGUUACCAAUCACACUGGGUGAAAGACUCACCAGUGCUGCAGUAAACUUGGGUGAAAAAGGAAGCUUUUUCAGGCACAAUGAGAACUUGGAGCAGUGUAGACAGAAAAAAUGUAAGAGUUUAAAUUGAGAAUAAAUGCAGCUGCAGAGUAGCAGUUAACUGGAGAAAUCUCCAGACCCAAGAAGAGAUGUUUUUGCACAGAACAAAAUGGUAGAAUGUUUCUUGCCUAAGAAAGACUAUGUCCUGCUCAUAUAGAAAGAGGAGUGUGUGAAAGUUGUAAAAAUGUUAGUAAAGAAUGUGGCAUGUGCAGUAUAUAUAUAAACUAUAGAGGCAGCUCGUAGCUGGCUUUGAAUGACAGAGAAGAUGGCGGGCAAAGUGGGAGAAAAGAGAUAACUACUAAAUCACACUCUGUGUUUACAUCAAAUCAUAUUACUUCACAAAUUAAAGUGAGAAUAUAUAUUUUA